rnacentral:rRNA from 1 species
AUUAGUUAUGUUCUUUAAACCCAAAGAAUUUGGGCGGUAUUUUAGUCUUUCCAGAGGAACCUGUUCUGUAAUUGAUAUUACACGAUUUUAUUCACUUAUAUUUGUGUUCAAUUUUUAUACCUCCGUCAUAAGAAUAUUUUUAUAGAAUCAAUUUUCUUAAUUAUUCAAUGUAAAGAUGUCAGGUCAAGGUGAAGUUAAUAUAUAAGUAGAAAUGGGUUACAAUAAAUUUAUUUAUAUGGAUUUUUAAUUUUGUUUUUAUUAUGAAGGUGGAUUUGGUUGUAAAUUAAUUUAUUUAAUUUAUUGAUUUUGGCUCUAAAAUAUGCACAGAUCGCCCGUCGC